AGUGAACGCUGGCGGUAGGCCAAACACAUGCAAGUCGAACGGCAGCACAGAGGAGCUUGCUCCUUGGGUGGCGAGUGGCGGACGGGUGAGGAAUACAUCGGAAUCUACUCUGUCGUGGGGGAUAACGUAGGGAAACUUACGCUAAUACCGCAUACGACCUACGGGUGAAAGCAGGGGAUCUUCGGACCUUGCGCGAUUGAAUGAGCCGAUGUCGGAUUAGCUAGUUGGCGGGGUAAAGGCCCACCAAGGCGACGAUCCGUAGCUAGUCUGAGAGGAUGAUCAGCCACACUGGAACUGAGACACGGUCCAGACUCCUACGGGAGGCAGCAGUGGGGAAUAUUGGACAAUGGGCGCAAGCCUGAUCCAGCCAUACCGCGUGGGUGAAGAAGGCCUUCGGGUUGUAAAGCCCUUUUGUUGGGAAAGAAAUCCAUCUGGUUAAUACCCGGGUGGGAUGACGGUACCCAAAGAAUAAGCACCGGCUAACUUCGUGCCAGCAGCCGCCGUAA
rnacentral:rRNA from 1 species